GACGAACGCUGGCGGCGUGCUUAACACAUGCAAGUCGAACGGUAAGGCCCCUUCGGGGGUACCCGGGUGGCGAACGGGUGAGUAACACGUGAGCAACCUGCCCUUGACUCUGGAAUAACAGUUGGAAACAGCUGCUAAUACUGGAUAUUCAUCGUCUCCUUCCUGGGGGGUGGUGGAAAGCUCCGGCGGUCAGGGAUGGGCUCGCGGCCUAUCAGCUUGUUGGUGAGGUAAUGGCUCACCAAGGCUUCGACGGGUAGCCGGCCUGAGAGGGCGACCGGCCACACUGGGACUGAGAUACGGCCCAGACUCCUACGGGAGGCAGCAGUGGGGAAUAUUGCACAAUGGGCGCAAGCCUGAUGCAGCAACGCCGCGUGCGGGAUGACGGCCUUCGGGUUGUAAACCGCUUUCAGUAGGGACGAAGGGUGACUGACGGUACCUACAGAAGAAGGACCGGCUAACUACGUG
rnacentral:rRNA from 1 species